CCCUUAGAUGUCCUGGGCUGCACGCGCGCUACACUGAUGUGUCCAGUAAGCACCUAACCUAUUCCGAGAGGAGCGGGUAACCUUAGCAAAGCACAUCGUGAUGGGGAUAGAUUAUUGCAAUUAUUAGUCUUGAACGAGGAAUUCCUAGUAAGCACAAGUCAUCAGCUUGUGUUGAUUACGUCCCUGCCCUUUGUACACACCGCCCGUCGCUCCUACCGAUUGAAUGUUCCGGUGAAUGAUUCGGACCAGCGUGCUGCUCAGAUCCUGCGCAGUGUGCUGGGAAGUCUAGUGAACCUUAUCACUUAGGGGAAGGAGAAGUCGUAACA
rnacentral:rRNA from 1 species